rnacentral:rRNA from 1 species
GACGAACCGUGCGAACGUUGUUCGGAAUCACUGGGCUUAAAGGGCGCGUAGGCGGGCUGCCAAGUCUGGGGUGAAAUCCCACGGCUCAACCGUGGAACUGCCUCAGAUACUGGCGGCCUCGAGGGAGGUAGGGGCAUGCGGAACUAUGCGUGGAGCGGUGAAAUGCGUUGAUAUGCAUAGGAACUCCGGUGGCGAAGGCGGCGUGCUGGACCUCUUCUGACGCUGAGGCGCGAAAGCCAGGGGAGCAAACAGG